rnacentral:rRNA from 1 species
AUGAAUGUCAUGGCAGCAACUGCAAGCUGCAAAAACAUUAUUGUUACGGGGUGCACCAGUUUCAACUGUGUCUUCUUGCAAGCUCCUUGUCAAGGAGAGUCCCAAGGUCAGUCUGUACUCUGUUGGCUAAUUAAUCCAUUGACUAUGUCCUAUGAUUCUCUAGGAGCACUAAGAAAUUGUAUGUUUUUUUAUAAGGUGACUGAAACAAAAAUAAUAAUAUUUUCACGCCACAUCCAGGAGAUGAAAACUUUAUUGGUAAAAAGACACAAGCUUACCCUUUUCAGCUUGUCUCAAGCAAUUAAGAGUUCCGUUCUUAUUUUUGAGCACUUCGAAUGUGUAUCUCUUAUGGACUAA